CCAGACUCCUGCGGGAGGCAGCAGUGAGGAAUAUUGGUCAAUGGCCGGAAGGCUGAACCAGCCAAGUCGCGUGAGGGAAUAAGGCCCUAUGGGUCGUAAACCUCUUUUGUCAGGGAGCAAAGGCGUCCACGUGUGGACGAGAGGAGAGUACCUGAAGAAAAAGCAUCGGCUAACUCCGUGCCAGCAGCCGCGGUAAUACGUAGGGGGCAAGCGUUAUCCGGAUUUACUGGGUGUAAAGGGGGCGUAGACGGCAGAUCAAGUCUGAAGUGAAAGCCCGCGGCCCAACUGCGGGACUGCUUUGGAAACUGCCCGGCUAGAGUGCUGGAGAGGUAAGCGGAAUUCCUAGUGUAGCGGUGAAAUGCGUAGAUAUUAGGAGGAACACCAGUGGCGAAGGCGGCUUACUGGACUGUAACUGACGUUGAGGCUCGAAAGCGUGGGGAGCAAACAGGAUUAGAUACCCUUGUAC
rnacentral:rRNA from 1 species